AACGCUGGCGGCGUGCCUAAUACAUGCAAGUCGAGCGAACGGACGAGAAGCUUGCUUCUCUGAUGUUAGCGGCGGACGGGUGAGUAACACGUGGAUAACCUACCUAUAAGACUGGGAUAACUUCGGGAAACCGGAGCUAAUACCGGAUAAUAUUUUGAACCGCAUGGUUCAAAAGUGAAAGACGGUCUUGCUGUCACUUAUAGAUGGAUCCGCGCUGCAUUAGCUAGUUGGUAAGGUAACGGCUUACCAAGGCAACGAUGCAUAGCCGACCUGAGAGGGUGAUCGGCCACACUGGAACUGAGACACGGUCCAGACUCCUACGGGAGGCAGCAGUAGGGAAUCUUCCGCAAUGGGCGAAAGCCUGACGGAGCAACGCCGCGUGAGUGAUGAAGGUCUUCGGAUCGUAAAACUCUGUUAUUAGGGAAGAACAUAUGUGUAAGUAACUGUGCACAUCUUGACGGUACCUAAUCAGAAAGCCACGGCUAACUACGUGCCAGCAGCCGCGGUAAUACGUAGGUGGCAAGCGUUAUCCGGAAUUAUUGGGCGUAAAGCGCGCGUAGGCGGUUUUUUAAGUCUGAUGUGAAAGCCCACGGCUCAACCGUGGAGGGUCAUUGGAAACUGGAAAACUUGAGUGCAGAAGAGGAAAGUGGAAUUCCAUGUGUAGCGGUGAAAUGCGCAGAGAUAUGGAGGAACACCAGUGGCGAAGGCGACUUUCUGGUCUGUAACUGACGCUGAUGUGCGAAAGCGUGGGGAUCAAACAGGAUUAGAUACCCUGGUAGUCCACGCCGUAAACGAUGAGUGCUAAGUGUUAGGGGGUUUCCGCCCCUUAGUGCUGCAGCUAACGCAUUAAGCACUCCGCCUGGGGAGUACGACCGCAAGGUUGAAACUCAAAGGAAUUGACGGGGACCCGCACAAGCGGUGGAGCAUGUGGUUUAAUUCGAAGCAACGCGAAGAACCUUACCAAAUCUUGACAUCCUUUGACAACUCUAGAGAUAGAGCCUUCCCCUUCGGGGGACAAAGUGACAGGUGGUGCAUGGUUGUCGUCAGCUCGUGUCGUGAGAUGUUGGGUUAAGUCCCGCAACGAGCGCAACCCUUAAGCUUAGUUGCCAUCAUUAAGUUGGGCACUCUAAGUUGACUGCCGGUGACAAACCGGAGGAAGGUGGGGAUGACGUCAAAUCAUCAUGCCCCUUAUGAUUUGGGCUACACACGUGCUACAAUGGACAAUACAAAGGGCAGCGAAACCGCGAGGUCAAGCAAAUCCCAUAAAGUUGUUCUCAGUUCGGAUUGUAGUCUGCAACUCGACUACAUGAAGCUGGAAUCGCUAGUAAUCGUAGAUCAGCAUGCUACGGUGAAUACGUUCCCGGGUCUUGUACACACCGCCCGUCACACCACGAGAGUUUGUAACACCCGAAGCCGGUGGAGUAACCUUUUAGGAGCUAGCCGUCGAAGGUGGGACAAAUGAUUGGGGUGAAGUCGUAACAAGGUAGCCGUAUCGGAAGGUGCGGCUGGAUCACCU
rnacentral:rRNA from 1 species